GUUAUGUAAUGAUUUUACUAAUAUCUUAUGGAGAAAGUCAUAGAGGUUAUGGGACUGGCUUGAAACCAGUUUUUGGAGGCGCGAUUCCUUCCUUUUUUGGUCUAGGCUUCAUACAGACGGGCU